GAUGAAGAACGCAGCGAAAUGCGAUACGUAAUGUGAAUUGCAAAUUCAGUGAAUCAUCGAGUCUUUGAACGCACAUUGCGCCCCCUGGUAUUCCGGGGGGCAUGCCUGUCCGAGUGUCAUUGCUGCCCUCAAGCACGGCUUGUGUGUUGGGCCCCGUCCUCCGAUCCCGGGGGACGGGCCCGAAAGGCAGCGGCGGCACCGCGUCCGGUCCUCGAGCGUAUGGGGCUUUGUCACCCGCUCUGUAGGCCCGGCCGGCGCUUGCCGAUCAACCCAAAUUUUUAUCCAGGUUGACCUCGGAUCAGGUAGGGAUACCCGCUGAACUUAAGCAUAUCAAUAAGCGGAGGA
rnacentral:misc_RNA from 1 species